rnacentral:rRNA from 1 species
GUGCCAGCAGCCGCGGUAAUACGUAGGGUGCAAGCGUUAAUCGGAAUUACUGGGCGUAAAGCGUGCGCAGGCGGUUUUGUAAGUCUGUCGUGAAAGCCCCGGGCUCAACCUGGGAAUUGCGAUGGAGACUGCAAGGCUUGAAUCUGGCAGAGGGGGGUAGAAUUCCACGUGUAGCAGUGAAAUGCGUAGAGAUGUGGAGGAACACCGAUGGCGAAGGCAGCCCCCUGGGUCAAGAUUGACGCUCAUGCACGAAAGCGUGGGGAGCAAACAGGAUUAGAUAC